UGUUCCAAAGCUAAAUCCUGCCUGCAAUUUCACAAAUUAUUGGGUUGUCAUGUAUGCAGCUAAACAAUUACACAUGGAGAGUAUUUGAUUUUUAUUCUUGAACAUAAUUCAUGAGUAAUCAUAAAAAUAAAGUGAGAAAACAAAGUGUCUUCUAAUACAGGUUCUGAGGUCAGAUGUAUGAUCAUAAAAAUAAAGCGAUAAAAAAAAGAGAGUAAUUCUAACAAAAAGUAUUCUAAUGUAGGUUUUGAGA
rnacentral:misc_RNA from 1 species